GGAUGAACGCUAGCGGCAGGCCUAAUACAUGCAAGUCGAACGGAAGUAGCAAUACUUUAGUGGCGCACGGGUGCGUAACGCGUAUGCAACCUACCUUUCAGUGGGGGAUAGCCCGGGGAAACCCGGAUUAAUACCGCAUAAGAUAAUUUGAUGGCAUCAUUAGAUUAUGAAACAUUUAUGGCUGAAAGAUGGGCAUGCGUUAGAUUAGCUAGUUGGUGAGGUAGAGGCUCACCAAGGCGAUGAUCUAUAGGGGUUCUGAGAGGAAGAUCCCCCACACUGGUACUGAGACAGGGACCAGACUCCUACGGGAGGCAGCAGUAGGGAAUAUUGGGCAAUGGAGGCAACUCUGACCCAGCCAUGCCGCGUGCAGGAAGAAGGCCUUCUGGGUUGUAAACUGCUUUUGGAAGAGAACAAAAAGACACUGCGGUGUAAAUUGAGUGUAUCUUCAGAAUAAGCACCGGCUAACUCCGUGCCAGCAGCCGCGGUAAUACGGAGGGUGCAAGCGUUGUCCGGAUUUAUUGGGUUUAAAGGGUGCGUAGGCGGCUACUUAAGUCAGGGGUGAAAGACGAUUGCUUAACAAUCGCAGUGCCUUUGAUACUGAGUGGCUUGAGUACAGAUGAGGCAGGCGGAAUGGGUGGUGUAGCGGUGAAAUGCAUAGAUACCAUCCAGAACACCGAUUGCGAAGGCAGCCUGCUAAACUGUAACUGACGCUGAGGCACGAAAGCGUGGGGAUCGAACAGGAUUAGAUACCCUGGUAGUCCACGCUGUAAACGAUGAUUACUCGAUGUUAGCGAUACACAGUUAGCGUCCAAGGGAAACCGAUAAGUAAUCCACC
rnacentral:rRNA from 1 species